UCGAGGGGCAGCAUUUUAGUUUGCUUGCAACUAAAGAUGGCGACCGGCGCACGGGUGAGUAACACGUAUCCAACCUGCCGAUAACUCGGGGAUAGCCUUUCGAAAGAAAGAUUAAUAUCCGAUGGUAUAUUAAAACCGCAUGGUUUUACUAUUAAAGAAUUUCGGUUAUCGAUGGGGAUGCGUUCCAUUAGUUUGUUGGCGGGGUAACGGCCCACCAAGACUACGAUGGAUAGGGGUUCUGAGAGGAAGGUCCCCCACAUUGGAACUGAGACACGGUCCAAACUCCUACGGGAGGCAGCAGUGAGGAAUAUUGGUCAAUGGACGAGAGUCUGAACCAGCCAAGUAGCGUGAAGGAUGACUGCCCUAUGGGUUGUAAACUUCUUUUAUAUGGGAAUAAAGUAUUCCACGUGUGGGAUUUUGUAUGUACCAUAUGAAUAAGGAUCGGCUAACUCCGUGCCAGCAGCCGCGGUAAUACGGAGGAUCCGAGCGUUAUCCGGAUUUAUGGGGUUUAAAGGGAGC
rnacentral:rRNA from 1 species